rnacentral:rRNA from 1 species
UACGAAGGAUGCAAGCGUUAUCCGGAUUUAUUGGGUUUAAAGGGUGCGUAGGCGGUCGGGUAAGUCUGAUGUGAAAUCUCACAGCUUAACUGUGAAACUGCAUUGGAUACUAUCCGGCUCGAGGAAUGGAGGGGAGACUGGAAUACUUGGUGUAGCAGUGAAAUGCGUAGAUAUCGAGAGGAACACCAGUGGCGAAGGCGAGUCCCUGGACAAUACCUGACACUGAGGCACGAAAGCUAGGGGAGCAAACAGG